rnacentral:rRNA from 1 species
GAUGAACGCUGGCGGCGUGCUUAACACAUGCAAGUCGAACGAGAAGUGGAGACGGAAACCUUCGGGCGGAAGACUUUAUUUCGAGUGGCGGACGGGUGAGUAACGCGUGGGUAACCUGCCUCAUACAGGGGGAUAACAGUUGGAAACGACUGUUAAUACCGCAUAAGACCACAGCACCGCAUGGUGCGGGGGUAAAAACUCCGGUGGCAUGAGAUGGACCCGCGUUCGAUUAGCCAGUUGGCGGGGUAACGGCCCACCAAAGCGACGAUCGAUAGCCGAUCUGAGAGGAUGACCGGCCACAUUGGGACUGAGACACGGCCCAAACUCCUACGGGAGGCAGCAGUGGGGAAUAUUGCACAAUGGGGGAAACCCUGAUGCAGCGACGCCGCGUGAGUGAAGAAGUAUUUCGGUAUGUAAAGCUCUAUCAGCAGGGAAGAAAAUGACGGUACCUGAGUAAGAAGCCCCGGCUAACUACGUG